UACAGGGGGUGCAAACGUUGCUCGGAAUCAUUGGGCGUAAAGCGCACGUAGGCGGUUCGUUAUGUCGGAUGUGAAAGCCCUUGGCUUAACCGAGGAAGUGCAUCCGAAACUGGCGAGCUAGAGUACUAAAGAGGAUCGCGGAAUUCCCGGUGUAAAGGUGAAAUUCGUAGAUAUCGGGAGGAACACCGGUGGCGAAGGCGGCGAUCUGGGUAGAUACUGACGCUGAGGUGCGAAAGCGUGGGGGAGCAAACAGG
rnacentral:rRNA from 1 species